UGGGGAAUAUUGCACAAUGGAGGGAACUCUGAUGCAGCGACGCCGCGUGAGUGAUGAAGGAGUUCGUUUCGUAAAACUCUGUUCUAUGGGAAGAAAAGGACUGUACCAUAGGAGAAAGCUCCGGCUAAAUACGUGCCAGCAGCCGCGGUAAUACGUAUGGAGCGAGCGUUGUCCGGAAUUAUUGGGCGUAAAGGGUGCGCAGGCGGCUUUACAAGUUGGAUGUGAAAUAUUGUGGCUCAACCACAAACGUGCAUCCAAAACUGCAAAGCUUGAGUUAAGGAGAGGUAAGUGGAAUUCCUGGUGUAGCGGUGGAAUGCGUAGAUAUCAGGAGGAAUACCGGUGGCGAAGGCGACUUACUGGACUUAAACUGACGCUCAGGCACGAAAGCGUGGGGAGCAAACAGG
rnacentral:rRNA from 1 species